GUCCCCUUCGUCUAGAGGCCCAGGACCUCGCCCUUUCACGGCGGUAACAGGGGUUCGAAUCCCCUAGGGGACGCCA
rnacentral:tRNA from 1 species